UGUAUUAUUAUAUCAUCUUUUUAUUAAUGUUAUCUACUUCUCAAUAUCAUCUUUUUAACAGCAAUAUCCACAAAAUAUUAACAAUGUGCAAGAAAACAUGAGUUAUGGCACAUCAGAGAACAGUUACAAAAAAUAGAUAUAUUUUCUUCAUAAUCAAUCAAGGCAAAAAGAUACAUAUACUGUAUGCAUACACAGGAGAUCAGAACACAAAAGAUGAGUCUCAGGAAGGGCUCUGAGGCGAUGCAGCCAUGUUUGAUAUCCACCAAUGAGGAGCCUCAAACCUCCCCACAUGACCACAAUUUAUUUCGCGGGGGCCCGCUUUUUGUGUCGCGACGCCAGUGGAUUUUUCUGGCCAUCUCAAGGCCUUGUGUUCUCAUGUAACACUUCAAGUCGUGUUGAUCUGAUAACCCAAAGACCGGGAUAGCACAUUAUACGCCACUGUAAGGCAAACUAGCAACCAAUCAGAUGACCUCGAAGCCAAACCAGCGAUUUUAGGCCGGCUGUCUCUGAUUGUAGCCCAACUGAAUAUGGAAUGAUUGAGAAAAAACAAGAAUGAUUAAAAAAAAGGAGCAUCUCCAGGACAACAUGAGUGUGUGUAUGACUGUGUGUUUUGAUAUUUAUGCAUGCUUGUUUCAUGUCAUGUGGAUGUUUGCAGUUUGUAAUUCUCUUUUAAAUUUAGCUGCACUUUGCAAAUACAUUACAAGAAGCAGUCUUUCUAUUCCCAAAGACAAAUAAUGAGUCAGUAUUUUCCUCAAGCUCAAGAGUCCAGACCCCAGGGAAAAACAAAUAUAGACUUUUAUCGAUAAUUUGUAUGUACUUGAUUAAAAAAAAAAAGUUUAAGAUUCACUGAAAAGUUCUUAAAUUGACGGAUUAAAUUGAUAAGAUUUUGCAUCAGUUUGUUAAAGAACAGCUACAUCAUAAGCUUAUCCCAGCAGCUAUCUAGCUAUUCCUUCAUAAAGGAGACAGGACGAGGAGAUUAGAAAGAAGUAAGAUUUAAAAAAAACAAACAAAAAAGGGGUCAGUAGCUGGAUUAUGAGAUAUGGGGCCACAGUCAUUCAAGAGGGGCUUCCCAGGCCACAGACUGAUGAGAAGAAGUCAAAGCACUACUGUUUGUCUACCUGGGCAUUAGUUUGCCAAAAGCAAAAGCCCUGAAUUGUUUUCUGAAACACCAAACAAUGAAUGUUGGUCUGCAAAGCUUGAAUAAAUUCUGAAAAUAAACUAAAUCUAAUUUAUGCAACUGAGUCAGGCACAGAUGGAGAUUAAUAACAACAAAAAUUUCUCAAAAAAAAAAAAAUGAAAUUGCAGCUUUGUGAUCACACCAGAAAUAGCCGCUCAUGCUCUACCUAAACCAUUCAAGCAUUUGGCUGAAUCCUCUUUUACUCUUUUACUCCAGAUGGAUAAAAGAGCAAAUCGAGGGUUUACAUGCUGGUCUGACUUUUACUGCGUCCAAUGACCGCUCCUCAGGUCAGACUCACCCUGACCUGGAAUUGCUGGGCUGCUGGGCUGCUCUGUAACAUGACUGUGUGACUGUGACUCUGGAAAAGCUCCAGAGGCCCCAGUCCGUUCUUACUCACCGUGUCUCUCCUACUAUUGUGCACACACAGGCCUACAUACACACUCAUACGUGCACCUCUGCUAUCUGUUCCCCGCCUCCUGCUCUGCCAAAUCAUCCUUUUUAGCUACUAAACACCCCCACAUCUGCACACACACACACACACACAUACACCCCCAAGCCUUCUCUGUCUGUGUGGAACAAAGGCAAAUUAAAGACAUAGCACGGCUUUUUAUCAGCUCUAUACCACAAACAAGAAUUGGUGAUUCUAUGCAAUAAAAUAAAUUUUUGACACAUAUGUCACAUUAUAUUGACACUGAUUGGAUGUGGACUUCUAGAUGUGUAACAGUGUUGUCCUAAAAAAUAUAAUGUGAAUAAAAAUUGAAUUUUCUCAAGAUAAUCACGACUGCCUCUAAGUUACAGCUGCUGAAAAUGACACAGGUAUUUUAAUCAAAACUAACAAAAAUCAACAUUAUUUUGUAAUAAAAGAUAAAGUGUUGUUUUUCUCAAAUAUUAGUCCGAGAAAAUCUCUUAUUUGCUUUCUUGCUGGGAGUUUUAUGUAAGGACUGAUGGUCUAGCACUCAUAUCUAUACCCUCAAGAUAAAGCCACAGUUAUUAGCCUACAGCAAGAAUGUUGAUAGUGGAAAAACAGUAAGACCUCGUUAUGUCUGAGAUGUCUGAAGCACCCAGCUCUUGAGAAGCAGUUUUUUUUUUUUAGGUUUCACGUUAUUUUAGUGAACUUUUUGUGUGUAUGGUAAAAUUAUUUAGCUUUUAACCAAGGCUAGCCAACCAUUUCCAUAAUUAUCACUUUAGCUACAUGAGAGAGGACCUUUUCCCAUGACAACCGAUGACGUCACCAAACUCAACUGUGAAUUAGUGAUGGGCACGGUGGUUCUUUUAGAUGUACUAAAUCACUAGAAUCAGUUCACUAAAAAGAUUUGUUCACCAAAUCACCAAAUCAUGUAGCACUUGGCGGGAGAAGCCCGCGACUCCGACCUGAUACACAGCUGAACGGUUCAGGAUUCAGUUUCUGGGACCAAAAGACAAGAGUGUUUGGCUGUGUUGCUUUGGCAAACAGGUUUUUUAAAAUGAACUUGUUUAUAAGUCAUGAUGUUUCAAGUGUACUGUCCUAUAGUAUGCUAUUUAUCAGGUCUGCUCAUUCAUUCACUGACCAUUUAGAAGAAUUCACACUGAUAUGCACUGUUCCCUCGCAAACUGCUGUAAUGAUAGGAUGCUGCAGGUUUAAUGCACUACUUGUUACAUGCUGUGUCCUAUUGUAAGCAAGUUGUUGUUGUGGCAAUUUAGCGGUUAAAAAAAGGUAGUUUUGUCUGACAAAAAUGAUUCCAGAGAGUGUAGUUCAAUGUGAUUCGUUCACCAAGUGAUUCAGGUGUCGGUGCAUGCGGACCCUCGUUCGCCGGGAAAUGCUGUUUCUCACUUCAACUCAACUGAAGUGAGUAAUGAACGAAUUACUUAAUGAAGUGAUUCGGAUCAUUACGCUGACUUAAAAGAUUCGUUUUUUUGGACGAAUCGUUCGCGAACGACACAACACUACUGCGAACGUCCAUCAGCAACAAUGAUGCGUUCGAAGUUGAAACAAGAUGGCUACAUCUACAAAAGUUAUUUU